GACGAACGCUGGCGGCGUGCUUAACACAUGCAAGUCGAACGGAAAGGCCUGCAGCUUGCUGCGGGUACUCGAGUGGCGAACGGGUGAGUAACACGUGGGUGAUCUGCCUUGCACUUCGGGAUAAGCUUGGGAAACUGGGUCUAAUACCGGAUAGGACAGCUGUUUAGUGUCAGUUGUGGAAAGUUUUUUCGGUGCAAGAUGAGCUCGCGGCCUAUCAGCUUGUUGGUGGGGUAAUGGCCUACCAAGGCGUCGACGGGUAGCCGGCCUGAGAGGGUGUACGGCCACAUUGGGACUGAGAUACGGCCCAGACUCCUACGGGAGGCAGCAGUGGGGAAUAUUGCACAAUGGGCGGAAGCCUGAUGCAGCGACGCCGCGUGGGGGAUGAAGGCCUUCGGGUUGUAAACUCCUUUCGACAGGGACGAAGCGUAAGUGACGGUACCUGUAUAAGAAGCACCGGCUAACUACGUGCCAGCAGCCGCGGUAAUACGUAGGGUGCGAGCGUUGUCCGGAAUUACUGGGCGUAAAGAGCUCGUAGGUGGUUUGUCGCGUCGUCUGUGAAACUCCGGGGCUUAACUCCGGGCGUGCAGGCGAUACGGGCUGACUUGAGUGCUGUAGGGGAGACUGGAAUUCCUGGUGUAGCGGUGAAAUGCGCAGAUAUCAGGAGGAACACCGAUGGCGAAGGCAGGUCUCUGGGCAGUAACUGACGCUGAGGAGCGAAAGCAUGGGUAGCGAACAGGAUUAGAUACCCUGGUAGUCCAUGCCGUAAACGGUGGGCGCUAGGUGUAGGGGGCUUCCACGUCUUCUGUGCCGUAGCUAACGCAUUAAGCGCCCCGCCUGGG
rnacentral:rRNA from 1 species